UAUCUUCGGGGCGGGGUGCAAUUCCCCACCGGCGGUGAAAGUCCGCGAGCGAAAGCUGAACCGGUGCAAUUCCGGUACCGACGGUACAGUCCGGAUGAAAGAAGAA
rnacentral:ncRNA from 1 species